AUGAACGCUGGCGGCGUGCCUAAUACAUGCAAGUCGAGCGAACGGACGAGAAGCUUGCUUCUCUGAUGUUAGCGGCGGACGGGUGAGUAACACGUGGAUAACCUACCUAUAAGACUGGGAUAACUUCGGGAAACCGGAGCUAAUACCGGAUAAUAUUUUGAACCGCAUGGUUCAAAAGUGAAAGACGGUCUUGCUGUCACUUAUAGAUGGAUCCGCGCUGCAUUAGCUAGUUGGUAAGGUAACGGCUUACCAAGGCAACGAUGCAUAGCCGACCUGAGAGGGUGAUAGGCCACACUGGAACUGAGACACGGUCCAGACUCCUACGGGAGGCAGCAGUAGGGAAUCUUCCGCAAUGGGCGAAAGCCUGACGGAGCAACGCCGCGUGAGUGAUGAAGGUCUUCGGAUCGUAAAACUCUGUUAUUAGGGAAGAACAUAUGUGUAAGUAACUGUGCACAUCUUGACGGUACCUAAUCAGAAAGCCACGGCUAACUACGUG
rnacentral:rRNA from 1 species